rnacentral:rRNA from 1 species
GAUGAACGCUAGCGGGAGGCUUAAUACAUGCAAGUCGAGGGGCAGCGGGUCUAAACCUAGUUUAGAUGCCGGCGACCGGCGAACGGGUGAGUAACGCGUACGGAACCUGCCUCCAGGAGGGGAAUAGCCCUGGGAAACCGGGAUUAAUGCCCCAUGGUAUUGUCUGUCGGCAUCGGCUGGACAAUUAAAGGAGUAAUCCGCCUGGAGAUGGUCGUGCGUCCUAUUAGCUAGUUGGUGAGGUAACGGCUCACCAAGGCGAUGAUAGGUAGGGGGCGUGAGAGCGUGGACCCCCACACGGGUACUGAGACACGGACCCGACUCCUACGGGAGGCAGCAGUAAGGAAUAUUGGACAAUGGGCGCAAGCCUGAUCCAGCCAUCCCGCGUGCAGGAUGACGGCCCUACGGGUUGUAAACUGCUUUUGUGAGGGAAGAAACCCCUGGACUUGUCCGGGGCUGACGGUACCUCAAGAAUAAGCACCGGCUAAUUCCGUG